rnacentral:rRNA from 1 species
AGCGAACGCUGGCGGCAUGCCUAACACAUGCAAGUCGCACGGGGGGGCUUCGGCCUCCCAGUGGCGGACGGGUGAGGAACGCGUAGGGACCUGUCGAGGGGUGGGGGAUAACCGCGGGAAACUGCGGCUAAUACCGCAUGACGCCGCGGCGUGACAGCCGGGGCCAAAGGCGAAAGCCGCCCGCCGAGGGGCCUGCGUCCGAUUAGCUGGUUGGCGGGGUAGCGGCCCACCAAGGCGUCGAUCGGUAGCUGGUCUGAGAGGGUGAUCAGCCACACCGGGACUGAGACACGGCCCGGAAUCCUACGGGAGGCAGCAGUGGGAAAUAUUGGACAAUGGGCGCAAGCCUGAUCCAGCAAUGCCGCGUGGGUGAAGAAGGUCUUCGGAUUGUAAAGCCCUUUCGGCGGGGACGAUGGUGACGGUACCCGCAGAAGAAGCCCCGGCUAACUUCGUG